UACGUAGGCGGUGCGGUAAGUUGGAUGUGAAAUCCCACGGCUCAACCGUGGAACUGCGUUCAAUACUGCCGUGCUUGAGGGAGACAGAGGCGAGUGGAACUGAUGGUGGAGCGGUGAAAUGCGUUGAUAUCAUCAGGAACACCCGUGGCGAAAGCGGCUCGCUGGGUCUCUUCUGACGCUGAGGUACGAAAGCUAGGGGAGCGAACAGGAUUAGAUACCCUGGUAGUCC
rnacentral:rRNA from 1 species